AACAGAGGGACGAAAGCCAACACUCGCUUCUCGCCUGACUCGCGUGUCUAGAGCUUCUAAUUUGACCUCCUUGGGGAUUUUCUUUCUUACCUUAUAAACAAAUACACACCUGGUUGUCAGGAUACCAGCCUUUUCCAGAGUGGCUCCACGGACAACAGGUGCCCUGCUGAGUCUUGGAGAGACAGAGACAGCGAUGCUGACCUCCUGAUGUUGCACAGCAGAUACUUGCAGGUGUGUUGUACCUGAGGCUGUGUAUUAUUUAUUGAAACUGAGCCCUCCAGUGUCUUUACCUCCAGGCAGCCCUGGAGUCUGGUGCUUUUAAUAUGGAGCUACCAGCAGCUGAGCUGCAAGGUUCGGGGAUAGAUGUCCCUUGCUUACGUUGUUUUUCUUGUCAGUAAUUGCAAAGCACAUCUUGAAGAGUGACCAGGAAUGGCUAUCAAGCAUCUGAUAAAAGGAUGCCUCUAUGAUAUGAGGCUUCUCAACAAAGAUUCAAGUUUUCUUUCUUAUGGGAUUUCUCCACUUUGGUGCAUAUGUCAAUGAAACUCAGACUCCAUCUGUGGCCUCUUUGUACUGCGUGGCUAUCGUAGUGACCUGACUGUGAUGUGCGACUUCACAUGCUUCAUCUCCUGGAGGAAAAUGGGGUAUCUUAAAAUGACCUGUCUCAUUACCCAUGACAUCUGUGUCUGGCAAACCAGGCGACUCUUUGCAUUUGGGUAACAAAGACAUUUGGAAUACAUGCCACUCGAUUUUCCAUGUUGGUAAAACUGCUGUUGGUCACCUCAACCGUCCUGCAUGUUGCCAUGCUAAAAACGCCUAAGAGUAAAAAUGUCUCCUGGGGUUCGGCAGACUCCUACACCAGCCGCCCAUCCGAUUCAGAUGUGUCUUUGGAAGAGGACCGGGAGGCAGUCCGUAGAGAAGCUGAGCGGCAGGCCCAGGCACAGUUGGAAAAAGCAAAGACAAAACCUGUUGCAUUUGCAGUUCGGACCAAUGUCAGGUACAGCGCAGCCCAGGAGGAUGAUGUCCCGGUGCCCGGCAUGGCCAUCUCGUUCGAGGCAAAAGAUUUUCUUCAUGUUAAGGAAAAAUUUAAUAAUGACUGGUGGAUAGGACGGCUUGUUAAAGAAGGCUGUGAAAUCGGAUUUAUUCCAAGCCCGGUCAAACUAGAGAACAUGAGGCUACAGCACGAACAGAGAGCCAAGCAAGGGAAAUUCUAUUCCAGUAAAUCAGGAGGAAAUUCAUCAUCCAGUUUGGGUGACAUGGUACCCAGUUCCAGAAAAUCGACACCUCCAUCGUCUGCUAUAGACAUAGAUGCUACUGGCUUAGAUGCAGAAGAGAAUGAUAUUCCAGCAAACCACCGCUCCCCUAAGCCCAGUGCAAACAGUGUAACGUCACCCCACUCCAAAGAGAAAAGAAUGCCCUUCUUUAAGAAGACAGAGCACACUCCUCCUUAUGAUGUGGUACCUUCCAUGCGACCAGUGGUGCUGGUGGGCCCCUCUCUGAAGGGGUAUGAGGUCACAGAUAUGAUGCAAAAAGCACUGUUUGAUUUUCUAAAACACAGAUUUGAAGGGCGGAUAUCCAUCACAAGAGUCACUGCUGACAUCUCCCUCGCCAAACGCUCAGUAUUAAACAAUCCCAGUAAGCAUGCAAUAAUAGAAAGAUCCAACACAAGGUCAAGCUUAGCGGAAGUUCAGAGUGAAAUUGAAAGGAUUUUUGAACUUGCAAGAACACUGCAAUUGGUAGUCCUUGAUGCAGAUACAAUUAAUCACCCAGCUCAACUCAGUAAGACCUCUUUGGCCCCUAUCAUAGUGUACGUAAAGAUUUCCUCUCCUAAGGUUUUACAAAGGUUAAUAAAAUCUCGAGGGAAAUCUCAAGCAAAACACCUCAAUGUCCAGAUGGUAGCAGCUGAUAAACUGGCCCAGUGUCCGCCGCAGGAGUCAUUUGAUGUGAUCUUGGAUGAGAACCAGCUUGAGGACGCUUGCGAGCAUCUUGCUGACUAUCUGGAGGCAUACUGGAAGGCCACCCACCCUCCUAGCAGUAACCUCCCCAACCCUCUCCUUAGCCGGACUCUAGCCACCUCAACUUUACCUCUGAGCCCCACCCUAGCCUCUAAUUCACAGGGUUCUCAAGGUGACCAGAGGACUGAUCGCUCUGCUCCCCGGUCCGCUUCCCAAGCUGAAGAAGAACCUUGUCUGGAACCCAUCAAAAAAUCCCAACACCGUUCUUCCUCAGCCACACACCAAAACCACCGAAGUGGGACAGGUCGAGGCCUCUCUAGGCAAGAGACAUUUGACUCUGAAACCCAAGAGAGCCGAGACUCCGCCUACGUGGAGCCAAAGGAAGAUUAUUCACAUGAACAUGUGGACCGCUAUGUCCCACACCGUGAACAUAACCACAGAGAGGAGACCCACAGCAGCAAUGGCCACAGACACAGGGAGUCUCGCCACCGCUCUAGGGACACGGGUCGAGACCAGGACCACAAUGAGUGCAGCAAACAACGAAGCCGACAUAAAUCUAAGGAUCGAUACUGUGACAAGGAAGGGGAAGUAAUAUCGAAGAGAAGGAAUGAGGCUGGCGAGUGGAACAGGGAUGUAUACAUCCGCCAAUGACCAUGUGUGUCCAGGCCCCCAAGUCUUGUGUAACAUCAUCCUUAAGCAAAAUCUUUGGGGGCUACAUUGCAGUCAUCUGUGAUCUGUCUUGUAUAUUUGUAUUGCUGUUGCUUCAAUAGCAAUAGCGUGCAAUCAAGUAUUAUUAUACCUUCUUUUGUAAGUACCACAGAAAUUGGCCUAGUACAGCGGCAGUCCUCCGUCUAUAUCCUGAACUCUUCAAAAGCUGUUUGGGUAGCUGCCACCUGAACAGAGUGGCUUCAGAAAUGUAGUUAAUGUAUCCAAUGAGCCAGAUGCAGCACAGAUAACAAGUGGAUUUCUCCAUAUUUUUAAUGCCCAGAUACCUGACCUGUCAUUCUUUCAUGGACCACUGUUUCUUGCUUGUACCUCUGGCUGACUAAAUUUGGGGACAGAUUCAGUCUUGCCUUACACAAAGGGGAUUAUAAAGUUAGAAUCUAUUUUCUAUGUACUAGUACUGUGUACUGUGUAGACAGUUUGUAAAUGUUAUUUCUGCAAACACCUUAUUAUAAUUAUAUAUAUAUUAUAUAUAUGUAUGUAUAUAAUAUAUAUAUAUCAGUUUGAUCACACAAUUUUAGGGUCUUAAUGCCAAGUCAGCAGAUUUGCUUUAUGAAUCACAGGGACUAGAAAUGCCCACAUUCAGGAAAUUUCUAAUAUUGUCUAGACACCUCUCCCUAUUCUAAGAGAGAGCCUGUACAUACUGUAAAUACGUGUGAUUGCUUGACUUGAGGUUUGAUUUCUGAAUGUAAUCCCAUCCUGGUAAGUUUUUCAUUUUAACCAUAAAUUAUGGUAAAUGUAAUCAAACUCCAGAGGUUUUUCUACUCCAUACAGUCCACACUGAUUGUGACAAACACGUUCUUAGCAGCUAGUGUCUGUUAUAGUCACCGCACUGGAGUAUCCAAGCGGAGCCCACCAUGUGCACAUGCGCGUGUGAGUGUGUGAGUGUGUGAGUGUGUGAGUGGCUGAGAUGAAGUGGAACGCAGAAGACUAAUGCAGAAACCAGAGGCUGAUGGCUGAGAGUCCUGCCCACCUGGCUUUGUACUUAACUGUGUUGUAUGUUGCUUUCAAACCCACUGAGCAGCCAGGGAAUGUGAGGAAGCUUGCUGCCAAAGGAACUAGGGAAGCACUCAGCUGCUGACUCCUUGCUUUUGCCCCUGAAAGAGAGAAAACACGGGCAUCUUGUACUGUGAGUGUUCCACUGGAAAUGGACAAUCUUUGUGUGUCAGAUUAUUUUGUUUUAGUAAGAAAUGUUUACACAGCUUGUGCAAUUAUUUCGUAGGGAAAUAAAUUUUAUAACUUGUCCCAUGUUACUUUCUAAACGUGCCUAUUGCUCCUGUUGUUCAUCCUCAGCCACCCGCUCUUCUUCCCCCAGCAGCAACCUGAGCAGCUACACUGUCUGUCAGAAUCUACAAGUGCUUCUUAUAACCAAAGUUCCUGCUAAGUCUUUAGAAGUUAUCAGGGCAAAAUGGAAUAACUUGAAGCAAAAGAGUUGGAACGUUUUCUUAUACGAGACAUCUGUGAAGGAGAACCUAGAAGACACUUUCUUCAAGCCUCAAUCUGCCUGCAUUAAGAAGCUUACAAUGCUCUUAGCCAAGGCUAUACAAUCUCUCUCUCGCUCAAGAGUCCAGUGCUGAUGGAUAGAUAGGAAUAAUCUAUAUUAAAACUAAGUAUGCUAAAAGAUGCUAAUAGCCUUCCACGUGUCCCUGAUGUCUUUUCAUUGUUGUGUCCUUGAAGAAUAUGUGAAUUGCUUUCAAAAUUUGAGAGGAAGAAAUCCACUGAAAAUGGCUUGUAUUAACAGGAAUAAUGCUAACAGUAUUCUGUGUCCUUGCUGUUCUGAACACACGCAGCGUUCUCUUUUGCUGGCUCUGUGUGGACUCUGGUAUUUACUAGAAUGGGAAAAAGUCUGACACCGUGCUGGUUUGCUGCUCGGCUGUCUCUCUCCAACUCUCACCCAGCUUAGCACAUACAGAUGUGCAGAAAGAAAGGAAGCCAGGGUUAUGGAGUUGUUUAAAAUUCAUUUUAAUAUCUGAGGGGCUACCUGGAGUCCCAGAAACAAAAGUGUCUCAUGGUGAUGGUGGUUCUCUUUAGUCAAAAUGGCAUCUCCUGGACACAGGCAGAAUGAAAGAUAGAAAAGGCUUGCUUGAAUCUUAGUAAAUUCAAGAUGAUUUUUCAUAUUCCAUAAUACCCACUGACUAUCUACUCUGAAGCAGUAAUAAGAGAGAGGAAAAAAACCCUUGUUUAU